UGUCUCCAAUGAUGCUUUGCACUGGGCUCAGAAUUCUUAUGAUGACCAAAGUGCAGCUCUGCCCUGACAAGGUAGAGUCUGAGGAGAUG